rnacentral:rRNA from 1 species
GUGAGGAAUUUUCCGCAAUGGGCGAAAGCCUGACGGAGCAAUGCCGCGUGAAGGAUGAAGGCCUAUGGGUUGUAAACUUCUUUUCUCAGAAAAGAAUUAUGACGGUAUCUGAGGAAUAAGCAUCGGCUAACUAUGUGCCAGCAGCCGCGGUAAGACAGAGGAUGCAAGCGUUAUCCGGAAUGAGUGGGCGUAAAGCGUCUGUAGGUUGUUUAAAAAGUAUUCUGUCAAAGAUUAGGGCUUAACCCUAGAUAGGCAGAAUAAACUUUUAAGCUAGAGUUUGGUAGAGGCAGAGUGAAUUCCCGGUGGAGCGGUGAAAUGCGUAGAUAUCGGGAGGAACACCAAAGGCGAAGGCACUCUGCUGGGCCAAUACUAACACUGAGAGACGAAAGCGAGGGGAGCAAAUGGGAUUAGAUACCCGGGUAGUCC